CCUACGGGUGGCAGCAGUGAGGAAUAUUGGUCAAUGGGCGCGAGCCUGAACCAGCCAAGCCGCGUGUAGGAUGAAGGCUCUAUGGUUUGUAAACUUCUUUUAUAUGGGAAUAAAGUGAGGAACGUGUUCCUUUUUGUAUGUACCAUAUGAAUAAGCAUCGGCUAACCCCGUGCCAGCAGCCGCGGUAAUACGGAGGAUGCGAGCGUUAUCCGGAUUUAUUGGGUUUAAAGUGUGCGUAGGUGGUUAAUUAAGUCAGCGGUGAAAGUUUGUGGCUCAACCAUAGAAUUGCCGUUGAUACUGGUUGACUUGAGUAUAGUUGAGGUAGGUGGAAUGCGUGGUGUAGCGGUGAAAUGCAUAGAUAUCACGCAGAACUCCGAUGGCGAAGGCAGCUUACUAAACUAUAACUGACACUGAAGCGCGAAAGCGUGGGGAUCAAACAGGAUUAGAUACCCCUGUAGUC
rnacentral:rRNA from 1 species